UAUCUAUCUUAUGUUACUCAAUCGAACGGUGGUAUUUUCAUCUAUAAAUAGCAUGCACUGAACCAACGAUAUGAACGGCAAAGUUGUUAGAUUGAAACAUUGACUUGUUUAAUGUAUGUAUGGACUGUAUGCGUAAAUGGAAAAGACUUAAACAGAUAGAUAAUCGUCAGAUAGAUAAAUUGCACAAGAAAGUACUGCCGCUUGCGAGAUGCCUUCCAGCUUUUAUUACCAUUUACUCGAUAUAAUAUUUACAAUGCCCUCGAGUGCUGUCAUGGAACCAGUAGGAUACGCUUUCAAUUUGAUCAGUAAAUUAAUGGCAGACUCGUCACGCAAACGGACAAUGGCGGUGGUAGAUAGUCUCAAGAACGACUAAACGUUGUAGUUGCGUUGUAGCAAAUUCCUUUUUCACCACUGUUCUACUGGGGAUAUCUUUGGCUAUGAUUUCUGAUAUAUUGUCGUGUCGUCGACAUAUUUCCACUUAUAAAAAGGGUUUGAUAGAUCGGAAGUCAAUUAUAUGCUUCAAAACCACUGAGCGUUCACAAUAUUGCACGGAAUUGCCGAUAAAUCCUGUGCGAAAAAACUUUGUCUUGCUUUCAAUCAAGUUUAUCUAUCUGACGAUUAUCUAUCUGUUUAAGUCUUUUCCAUUUACGCAUACAUACAUUAAACAAGUCAAUGUUUCAAUCUAACAACUUUGCCGUUCAUAUCGUUGGUUCAGUGCAUGCUAUUUAUAGAUGAAAAUACCACCGUUCGAUUGAGUAACAUAAGAUAGAUA
rnacentral:lncRNA from 1 species